rnacentral:rRNA from 1 species
UACGUAGGGGGCAAGCGUUGUCCGGAUUUAUUGGGCGUAAAGAGCGUGUAGGCGGCCAGACAGGUCCGUUGUGAAAACUCGAGGCUCAACCUCGAGACGCCGAUGGAAACCAUCUGACUAGAGUCCGGAAGAGGAGAGUGGAAUUCCUGGUGUAGCGGUGGAAAUGCGCAGAUAUCAGGAAGAACACCCGUGGCAAGGCGGCUCUCUAGUACGUGACUGACG